ensembl:lncRNA
GGUAAUGUAGAGUUGUGUGUAGUAAUGGGGUAAUGUAGAGUUGUGUGUAGUUGUGUGGUAAUGUAGAGUGAGAUUCGGUCCUGGCAGCAUCAUGAGGAAGUGUGUGUGUGUGUGUGAGAGUGUGUGUGAGUGUGUGUGUGUGUUUGCUUCUCAUCCUUUGUCAGGAAACGGUACGACUUCUCCUCGCGGCUCCUGAACGUAACCGCUGACACAAACAGGGACAACAGACCUCACGGAGACGAAGGCUUCCAGUCGGUUCUGUGGUGAGAUGAACGUCCCUCAUGGCGCUUAUUGUCCCAGAGAUCAGCGUUCUCACCGCCGCACCUCGUCCACGAGGAGUCCUGUCUGAGCCCGCCUCUCCCGGUUGCCAAGCAACGGCACGGAAACGAACUUUCACUGAUGUCAAAGUAGCGUGACCCCGAGGGUCCGCUUGUCACGCUGAGACAAACACAUGGUGGAGCUCCACCAGCAGCUCGGAACCCUCGAUGAACUUCAGGAAAACGCUUGUCUUCAUUCUGUGGACAGACGAUAUUCACCAGGGACGUCAGAGAAUAUCUUGUUCGUCGACUCCCAUUCUGAACUUUUUGGAGAGGAGCAGUCACUAAAGUUCUUUUUCUGCACAGCUAAUAAAAAUAAAAAACAUUUAGGGUUUGGGAAUAAACUUCUGGUCUAUGGCAGCGUUUUGCUCCAAACCGCAUCAACAAACCAUUAUGGACGUCUUGCAGCUUUCGCUCAGACCUCUGACUCGUCUCUCCUUCACAGCUACGACGGCUCUGGCACACGCGCAUCGCUGUAUUUACAGCCACUUACCAUCUCCAACUGACGUUAGAACAUGAUUUCUCUGAAACAAAAUUGAAAUGAUUAAAAGCACAACAUCAACCUAUGCUCCUGGAGCCGCCCCCCCCCCCCCCCCCCUCCAUUACAUCACUGCCCAAAGAAAACAAACCAAAACACCAAAUGACGGGUCUCUCUUACUCUCUGAGGGUCGUAAAACGGCCAAUUAUACAUGUGAUCAGGUAUGUGGAGCAAACGGCACGGUGGGAAUGUUGUGCGUCCACACACAUACACACAAACAGCAGUGUAACAGCUGAGCACUUUUCGGCCCACAGACCUGCACAGGUACCCACGACAGCUCCCCCCCUGGUGCCUUCGUUGCCAUGGCGACUGCCCUUUGAUGCUCAACGAGGCCUCCUUGUUUCCGCCCUGUGACCGAAGACGAUCACGUUUGCUGCAGUGACUGCAGGAACUUCGCCCGUACGGCACCGCGUGUUCAACCCCUGCUGUGUCCUGCAUUUAGUUGCGUUGCGAUCUGGAAGUUAAAUUGAUUUUUGAUUGAUUUUUUUUUAUGCCAUAUUGUCGAUACUAGUGAGAGAAAAUGUAUAGAUGUACGUGUUUGCAGCAGCGUGCAGCUCGUCUGGUUUUCUCUGCGGCUCCUUCAUGUCGGCCGAGCAAUCGAAACACUUCACGAUGUUCAUUUUUAUGGAGCCACUGCACGAGCCAUUUGUUCGCAUUACUUUUAACUCUGACAAAGCAUGAACUCGGCCUGUUAUGUUUCCCUAACUAAUAAUUACUAAUCAGAGGAAAUGUUCCCCUCAGCGAUACAUUUCUGGAUUUGGAGCCUCGGAGGAAAAACUCCGACAGGCACUUGGAUUUAUGUUAUUUGUGUUUCUGUAAUUGGGAGUAAAUCUGCUCUAAAUCUCCUAACGUGCAUCUGCGCUGCCUCUUGAACUCUCGAGUGCUCACAUGUGUUAUUUUUUCUUUGAUGGCGAUAAUCAGCGGAAAGAAAGGAAACUAGAGAGGGACAAAGAGGGAGAGACCAGAACAAAAAAAUGUGCAAAUGAGGCAAAGCAGCAGUUCUAUUAGAUAUUGAGGGCAAUAACAUGUACAGUACUUAAUAAACUGUGAGGAAGGGAUUCAGCCCAAACGUACCUGUUGAACUUGGCUUUUUGGUGAAUAAUUCUUUAUUGCUCAUAUCUGGUUUGUGUUUUUGACGUACAGAAAUAUGAAAGCCUAAAAACAAUCCCACAUUUGCAAUGAGAGAAGAGAAAAUAGAGGAAAUGAGCGUGUGUGUUACAUGAAUUCUUGUCCCUCUACGUCCGCUAAGAAAACAUAUCUGGAACUUAUUGUGUUUUUGAUGGCAGCGAUCGGUCGCACGUAAUAAAAACACAUGAGAGAAGAGCAUGAAACAGGAAAAGAGGUCCAAAGGGUUAAAUUCAACUUAAGGAAGUAAUAUAGGAGCAGGUAUCUCUUCAUGCACCUGCAGCUCGACUGAAUCAUUUAAUGUUUCACUGGGCUGUGGUCCAACAUAACGCAGUUCUCUGACCUCUUCUCUCUGCAUCCAAACAGUUUGACUCCUUUCCUUUUAGUUUACUUCAUCAUCGCUUUCAGAUCUCGCGUUGUACUUUCUGUGCGUCUCGCCGGUUCAUCUUUAUUACACUUUAACAUUAUGUCUUAUUCCCUUUCGAUUGAAUGACCCCUCGCUCUUAAUUAACAUCGUCCGUUAGUCCCGUGAUGCCAGGUUUCCCACAAUGCCUUUCAGCUAGAAGCAUCCGUUGUGGCUGCACCUUUUUCUUCUUCGUCUUCAUGCAGAGACGUCCUGACUUGUGUUUAGGAGACGAAGUCGAGCAGUGGGACACGGCGUCCUGGCCGUGGACCUGAGGCCGAGGAGUCCGCCGCCUCGGUUCCCCUCUGAACCAGAGCCUCCGCGCUCCGGUUGCGUAAUCGCCUUCUGAUUCCAGGCGAUAAGUACGGUUCCUGGAAGCUUUGUCAGCUUGUUCUCCUCCACCGGGCAGCUGCAACUUCUCUAAAUAUGCUGUUUGUUGUGUCAGGAACACGAUCAGUGCUUCGAUAAAGCGUGAGGGAACUUCUGACCGUUUGGUCGGCGAACUCCCUGAAGGAGGUAUCACACAGACCCGGUUCCCUGGUCUGGUUAUUGCAUCUCAUCUCCUCCUUGCUGAUAUAAAAUACGCGUAUUUUUUUUAAAGGAUUAUUUUCCUCUGCACGUCUUUUUUUUUUUUACAAAAGAGCAUGUGACCUUUGUUUGCUCGAUGUCUGGCUUUGUUCUGGAACGAGAUACCUGCUUUAAUGCCUCUCGCGGUUUAUGUGAAUUCUGGUCCCGCAGCCAUCCAGCGCGUAUCGCUUGGAUUCCCAGCCAGUCGGCUUGGAUGCACCUUGUGCAGCAAAGUGUCUACGCCGUGGACACGUAGACUCUACGGGAAGAAACAAACCGCCCGGUUUGUGCGACGCAUCGUGCACGCAGUCAAAACGUUAAAUAGCGGCUUCCUGCAUCGACCUCCUGUUUGUUUCCCAGCUGCUCGGAGCCGCUCUGCAAGCAGAUGCACUUUUUAUUACAGCUUUUAUUUUUUCUUCCGCUAAACACGGACGGAAAUCUAAGAAAGGCUUUGUGUUUAUUGGUCCAAAUGACACGAAGGCCGUGCGUCUGGGGAAGGAGCCCAGUGGAGUCACGCUGCACCUCUGAGCAAUAGGAACAGGCUCAUUGUACGAAUGCUGACCUCUGACCUUCGGUACACCGGCCAGCACGCGCAGACUUUUGUCCUUUUAACGUCCUCCGCAGCCGUUUCACUGUUUGUCCUCUCGGGGGACAUUUGACGUUACCUGUGGGGGGAACGAGAGCAGGAGAGCAGCUGGGUGACCAGGUGGAGUUGGGGGGACGCUUCGGAGGCUUUGGGGGGUCACAUGUUUGACCCCAACCGACCACGAGACUAAUCACAGGCGCCUUUGUGUUCCGACAACGAGAACCAACACGACGCCGCUGUAGAGCUCGCCGGAGUCUGUGUUUGCGUGCUCUUUUUAUGAAUGAGCAGCCUUCAUACGUGUGCAGUGCCGUGUUGUGUGUGCGUGUGCGUGUGUGGGCUUUCAGUUAGACUUCAUCAUUAAAAAAGGAUGUAAAGCAGAAACAUUCUCUUCCCAUGUGGUCUGCGUCUCUCAGCACACAACCUACUGUGUGUGCGUUUGUAGACAUUACAUUUGUGCGCCCACAUUGUGGAGGUUUGGGUGUGAACGUGCGUCCCUCCUCUACGCUCACAGCGCGUUCACGAAGGUUUAAAACAAGAAGAUCAAAUUGGCCGUUAAAAAAAAAAACGAGAAUUAUGCCGGAAAACAUCAUUAUUCAUCCGGACAUCAGCACACGUUCAAUCAUCCUGCCGCUUCGCCUCCCAGAGAGCAGCCCUCCUCUCGCUCCUCCCCCACUCGACUCCUCUGCCUCCCUCAUGACUGCCCCGUCCCCCGUGAUGUCACAGAAUCCUCUGUAUUUCACUGCAGGCCUCAAAUCAGGGAGGGAACCUUUAACUGAGCCGCAGAGAGAAAAGAUGCUGAUCGUUAAAUCGCACAUCCAGAUGUUCCUUUGCUUGCAGGGUGUCUGUUGUAAACAUUGCUCCUAUAGAGACAACAAUCAAACAUCAAAUCUUAGUAUUUGUGUGUAUAUAACAUUUCAAGUUGAAACACUGACAGACAAAGAUGAAUCCCACUGAUAGGUGGGAUAUUCAGAGCAAUGGAGCCUCAACAGAUACAGAAAGAGACGUUUGAGACAAAAAACAAGAAAUCCUUCAAAAAGCCCUUUGAUGCGUCCGGGUAACCUGAGGACCUGAUUGAGAGCACUUCACGUGGUUUGGUGUAACGUGAGCCUCUGGGACGUCGUCCCGAAGCACUUAACGAGGAAAUGACCGCCACACGCUGGGUAAUUUGUGCCAAUUAACCACCACGGAAACCGCUGAGGUAAAGAUAUCAGCUGUCCUUUAAUCAGGGCGUCUGAGGUAAUGCUGAGAAACACACACACACACACACACAUCAUGACAUUACCGACCGCGGGCUCAGUUCACUGUUGGUAAUGUCACCACUUCCUCCCAAGUUCAGACCAUAAAGAUAAAAAUAGCAGAGGAAAUGUACACUGUCCAGAAUAUAAUUGUAAAUGGGACGUCCCAGAGGGGACUUUUGAUUUAUUAUACAUAUAUAUAUAUUUAUAUAUAUACAUUUUAUUCUAGCUGGCGUUGACUUUGAUCAAUGUUAGCUUCUGUUAGCGUUGUUGUUAACAAGCUGUCACACCGCUAAUACAUCGUUACAGACUCGCCAUGUCUCCUCUGAUGCUUCGUUUUCUUUUAUUUCUGCGUCUUUAAGGACUCAUUGGUCCAGCUUUUUAUUGCACCUCAAUUGGACAAAGUCACGGUAAAGCCGGGCGACGCAAAGACGCGGAAAACACAAUCACUUCAAAACCACCACACAUGGUUUGCAGUUUGCACGUGAAUGAAAAAAAGAGAUUCAGACACAAAUCCUGUUUUGCAUGAAAUAAAGUUGAAUAUUGUCAUAAAAAAAAUCAAAUGUGUGCACAAAUCACAUCACCACCAUUAUUCUUCAAAUACGUUUAUGGGAAAUGUGGUCUUAAUUUGGAGAGAAAAAAAGUAGGUACCUUUUAAUAAAGUUUAUGAGAAUCAAGUGAACGGCGUUGUUCUUGCCCAGUGAAGCUGGUUUGGUCCGAGGCGGAAACGAGGCCUCUGGCGGAGUAGAUGAUGAGUAGAGAUCACUUCUUCUGACACUGAGCUAUUAGGUGAGGCAGGUGACCCCCGGAUGAGGAGAAGAAGCUGCUGUGAUUGUGUGACCCGGAGCUCCAUGAAGGUCGCGGCUCUCCUCGAGUAGAAGAAGCUCCCCAAAGGUCGGUGGAGCACGAUGAGGAGCACGUCCCUCCUCUUCCUCCCGGGUUUCUCUGCAACAAUCACAAAAAUAUGUUUUUUCAUCUGCACGGAGGCCGCUUGUUGGUUUAUCAAUCCACCGCUGACAGAUAGGGGAAAGAAACAGAGACCCCCGAGGUAUUUACAUCCGGUCUUUAUCUCCUGGAAGUGGUUUGUGCAGCGGGGGCCAUGUUGGCUUCAUAUAUCAGAGACAGGCGGGUAAUUGCUUUGUCAGACCGGGGAAUUCCUCCUCUGUACAAUAUGUGUGCAUGCAGACGAUCCGCCACUGUGUUUUUUGUUUUUAAGUACAAUUUGGCUGGUUUCAUUUAAUCAGAAACUACUUUUCUCGACCACAUUCAAGCCCCCCCCCCCCCCCCCCCACACGCUCUGCAGUGCUUCAGACAGUCGUAUUAUUUGGCUGAAUCCCAGCAGUUUGGACUCGCCGGGGAGCACGCCAACCCGAACCGCACCAGGGCGAGCCGGAGGACGUCGCUCAGAGGCAACGGGCGUCUCCGGAGCGGCGCCUGCGGGACCUCUGGAGCUCUGCGCCGCGAUCCGGCGUCCAGGUCCAGACUGUGAGGGUUCGACCUCCCCAAACCUUCAGAGGACAUCGAGGACGUCUCGUCACAGGCCUUUGGGAGACGGCAGAAGUGGAGAAUGGGAUGAAAUAAAUACGAUGUCUUAAUACAAUGAACAGUAAAUGACUGUAUUUGUAGUGGUUUAUUUUCCAAUUUGGGUUUUCUGUACAUUGCCAAGUAGUUCUGUUGCCUGAACCAAGAAAUGAAAUUGAAAAUACAGUUUUGUGAUGACAAAAUGAAUCAUCUUAAAGAGUGAUGGAAAGCGCUACGCUUCUGAUUGACAGUCAUGUCACGCUCAUCUUGCUCAUUUUAACUGCCGUUGGUACAUUUGUAUUCCCCCCAUCCAUGAACUAAAACGUGUCACAAUCCAUGAAUAAGCCAGCGUGUGUGCUUAUCUGGUGUAAGUAUGUCCCUGAAUACCAGCAGGGUGUCCUCAUGCGUAACCCUGGCGAUGUCUCACGGACUCAGCGCCGCUGGUCCUGGAAUGAAGAAUGUUGAAAGACGCGAUCCAAGCGUUCAAUGUUUGUGUCUCUGACGCUCAGAAAUGCCAUUUAUCAGCCAAGCAGCGCUCGGCCACGAGGAUUCAAGCAGCCAGCUCACAACGGCGGCCUCGUGACGCCGCGACCGAACACCGGAAGGAAGAAAACGCCGAGUGGAUGAGGCCUUACUGCCCCACACACACACACACACACACACACUCCAGGUGGAGUCCCAUGAUCCCGCGGGCGGCGCGGCGCUCCUCGCCCACCUCCUGCACCACGCAUCGGCUCUGCCGCGGCUUAUCUGCUGUAUUUACCACUGCAGCUCUGCCUGGAAGCUGUAGCCGAGUCAGGAAUUCAGAGUUGUGACAAGGUUUACGUUGGCCGGAGCGCCCGAAACUGGAGCCGAGCAACUCAAAUAAAUCAUCCAAAGAGAGAGAGGAGGACAAACAAAUAGCUUUCUGCAAAACAGUGUUUCAAGCAAUGGCUUUUUUGGCAAGAGAUGGAGAGAGACAGAUUAGGGUCCGAAAGAUAAAAGUCAGGUGAAGUGAAUUCAUUUCAGAGACCGAAGUUGAAGAUGGCGAUCGUGAGUCAGCAGUUGAUCCCCAAAAGCUUCAGGGUUCAAACAAACUACCAGACCGAAUGUGGUCCAGCGACGAGAAAAAGAAAAGCAAAAGGAAAAAGAGGAGAGAAAAAGGGAAGAAUGGAACAGACUGAUUGACCGACUCGCCGCCUGCUUUUCUUACAGCUUCAAAAAGCGUCUUGAGCUGCAGGAAGAUAAGCAGAAAGUAAGAUAUUUUCAAUUUGCUUUUAAAGUUGUCAGUGCUGCUUUAUUUUCCUACCAAACAAGACCCAUUUUAUAAAGCGUCAUCGUCUGAAGUUCUGAGGUCAUCUGAUGAUUUCUUUGUUUCUCCUCAUUUAUCGAUAGUUUCCUAUUUUCUUAGUCUUAUUUUGAAAUACUCGUCUUUGUUAAUACCUUCAGUCCUUUAAUAAGUUUCUUUCUCGCCUGUUUAUUCUGGUUUUUUUCACGUCCUCUUUUUCUAUUUGUGUUUUCUUUCCUUUGACAUUUCACUUUUCUUACCCAGAGCGUUGUGACGUUUUGGUCGUAACACCUGAAAGACGUUGAAAGUCCUCCGCGCUUUAACAGCAGACGUUAGCGACAGUUAGCAGUUAGCAGGACUCCUUCUACAUGUCAUCAUCAAACCACUUCCAACCAAAGGAAAUGACCAAUAACUCCGACAUCCCCGUUGAUCGUUUGAACGUUUUACGUCAGUUGAAUUUCACAAAGUAUCUGCAGUGUUUUUUAGUCGGAUUCCUUCUAACUGCAGAGACUAAACACGUGUGUCCAGGAACACAAGAGCCUCGUGAUUGAGACAAAUUUCACAAUUACACACUCAGUCAUAUUAUACUUCCUCUCGCUGUUUCUGUUUUUGUUUUUUAGCCUCCUCAUUAAUCUUUCAUUUAACCUCAAAAGACCCGCAUUCCUUUUUCUCCCCUUCUGUUCUCUCUCUCCUCCCCCGCCUGGACGUUCUCCCGCUCGGUUUUCUUCUUCUUGUCCACGAGCUCCUGAACUUACAGGUACAUUUAUAAACGUUAGCGGUCCAAGUGGACCACGUGUACGUGGCACUGCUUUUCCAAGACAACAGCCUUAAAUGUAGUACAUUCUACUGGCUGAAACGCGACUACAUCAUAUAUAAAUAUAUAUAAAUAUAAGUGGGUGAGAGAUUGACUCGGUGGGGGUCCCGCUGCCGUCGACUUCACCGUUUGACAGAAGCUGCAUGCGGGUUAAGAGUCCGAGCGCGCACUGAGAACAAGAUCAGCUUCAAAUAGCUGAUCUAUUGCUCCGAUUAACAGUCGAUUAAUCACACAACUGAAAGGAGCUUGCGGAUGACGUGUUGCUUUGGCCCUUGGCCGACACGGUUAAUCACGCGGCCCCCGACCUUCCUCGUUCCUCUCACCGCCUCCACAGCCGCCUGCCAUCCCUGUUCCACCGAGCACCACGUCUGCACCAUGACGAGGCGACAACAGGAGCGACUUCCUCCGCUGCCAGAGAGCGCCGCGAGUUCAAGUAGGCCGAGGCGAAGAAGUCGCCUUGUUGCAUUGACUUCGGCGGGGCCGUCCGGGGGGGGGGGGCGACAAACGAGGCUCACGGGGG